rnacentral:rRNA from 1 species
GACGAACGCUGGCGGCGUGCUUAACACAUGCAAGUCGAACGGAAAGGCCCUGCUUUUGUGGGGUGCUCGAGUGGCGAACGGGUGAGUAACACGUGAGUAACCUGCCCUUGACUUUGGGAUAACUUCAGGAAACUGGGGCUAAUACCGGAUAGGAGCUCCUGCUGCAUGGUGGGGGUUGGAAAGUUUCGGCGGUUGGGGAUGGACUCGCGGCUUAUCAGCUUGUUGGUGGGGUAGUGGCUUACCAAGGCUUUGACGGGUAGCCGGCCUGAGAGGGUGACCGGGCCCAAUGGGGAAGGGGAAGCGCCCGGAGUGCCUCGGGGGGGAAGGAGGGGGGAUUUUGCGAGCAGGGCCGGGGGCCUGAGGAAGGAAUCCGGGUGGGGGGACGCGGGUUUUGGGGUGGAAAACUGGUUUGCCUGGGAAGCACGGGUAGGGACGGGAAAGGGGAAAAGAAGGACGGGUAAAUUCGUG